CAGCCGCCGCGGUAAUACGUAGGGUGCAAGCGUUAAUCGGAAUUACUGGGCGUAAAGCGUGCGCAGGCGGUUAUAUAAGACAGAUGUGAAAUCCCCGGGCUCAACCUGGGAACUGCAUUUGUGACUGUAUAGCUAGAGUACGGCAGAGGGGGAUGGAAUUCCGCGUGUAGCAGUGAAAUGCGUAGAUAUGCGGAGGAACACCGAUGGCGAAGGCAAUCCCCUGGGCCUGUACUGACGCUCAUGCACGAAAGCGUGGGGAGCAAACAGGAUUAGAGACCCCUGUAGUCCCUGUCUCUUAUAU
rnacentral:rRNA from 1 species